AUCACUUCUCGGCCUUUUGGCUAAGAUCAAGUGUAGUAUCUGUUCUUAUUAGUUUAAAAAUGUGUGUUGAGAGGGGAUAUAUGCCUUGAUUAUAUGUCCUUAAAGUCAUUAUUAGCAUGUUUUGCCUCCAAGGAGGAGAAUAGAGUUACUAGGACAGAGAGGUGGGAGGGAGACUUUUCACUAU